CUGGAACUCUCUUGCUUUUUUGAUGAUCCAGCGGAUGUUGGCAAUUUGAUCUCUGGUUCCUCUGCCUUUUCUAAAGCCAGCUGGAACAUCUGGAAGUUCAUAGUUCACGUACUGCUGAAGCCUGGCUUGGAGAAUUUUGAGCAUCACUUUACUAGCGUGUGAGUAAGUCCUUGAAAUCCACUGUGUAUUCUGCACUGAGCACACAGCUCAGUCUGUACCAGCUACAGUUCAAGUGACCAGAAGUCCCAUGCGGCUAGUGGCUAGUAGCUGCUGCAUUGGAAAGGCAGUUCCAGAAUGUAAUUUUUUCAACAGUUUCAUUCCUCAGAUACGAGCACCUUCAAGGUAGGUGCCUACCUGGUCUGAGACCUUGUAGAAUUUACAUUUUAGAGUGGAUGAUGUAGUAAACAAGCAUACAAACAAACAAGACAAUUAUUGAUUGUGAUGAGCAGCUUCCUCGUAGUGAGUUGGGAGGGCAUUUGAGUGCGGUAGGCGGGGAUAAGGUGGUGGGGAGCCUUCUCUCCAGAAGGGAUAUCUGAGCCUGAAGGACAGAAGGAACCACAGUGAAGACAGAGGCAGAGACUUCCAGGUGGAUUCUUUAUCACUGCACCAUCUGGAAAGCCUGCUGUCGAUGCUGCUGCUCUCCAAACCAUUCUCUGAAUGGGGAAGGGUACUGUGUUUGGGAGGAUCAAAAACUCAAGGCCAGGCAACUGCAAAUACCAUGCCUUAUCUGCUUUCUCCGAAAAAUGUUACUAGGAGGUAUCCAGGAUAUGAAUGAUCUGUUUUCCCAGCUUGGGUUGCUGACAACAAUCUUUGCUUUGUAGGUCCAAUCUGGCAAGUCUUAAAAGCUUAAUAAAUAGCCAGCUUUGUAAACGAGGUCCAGAAAUGACCAGCAAACUCCUCCUAUCUGCCCCUCAAACCUUCAAUACACGCUUCCCUUGCUUAAUACUGGCUAUGACCAGAACACAAAUCAAUUGAAUUUAGGCUCUAUCUAUGAGGAUCUUCCAAACUGCUCCACAUGCAGUCAAUUUGAAUGAGCAGACUGCUUGUCCAUUGCACUUUCUAAUCAGUGAUAUAACAUGUGCAGAGUUAAGGAUUCUUUUUUGGACAAAUAUUUCUUUAAAAAGGAAAAGAAGUUAUCUUUGUGUCAGGCUCUCUGUUAGGUACUUUUACACACACGAUCCACUUCAGUUGCUUCAACAGUUUUUCCAGGUAGGUACUGUUAUUUCUCUUUUCACAGAUGAGGAAAGUUGGAAAAGACCCUGAUGCUGGGAAAGAUCUGGGGCAAGAGUGGGCAACAGAGGAUGAGAUGGUUGGAUGGCAUCACUGAUUCAAUGGACAUGAGUUUGAGCAAGCUCUGGGACAUAGUGAAGGACAGGGAAGCCUGGUGUUCUGCAGUUCAUGGGAUCACAAAGAGACAGACACGGCCGAGCGGCAGAACAACAACUGUUAUUCCCCUUUGCACAGAUGAGGAAACUGGGCUCAGAGGGACAAGUAACUUGUUCAAGGUCCCACACAGUCAGCGAAUGGAAGGGCUGAACCUCUGUCAGCCUUGGUCCAAAGUCCAAGUUCUUUUUACACUGCUCUGGGCUCCCCAGUUUCCAGGGGAAACUAGUUUAGUUUUCUAGUUGCUAGCUAAAUCCCAAUUAUAUGAUUAGGCCACCCAAGAUGGCUAUUCUCUUGCUCUUCCUGCUUGACCAAUGCCUGUCUCACCUACACCCCGAUUGACUUUCCCUCUUAAUCAGAGAGCCUAACCAGUAAAUGCCUAUGUACUUGCCCCCAGCCCCAGCUAGUGAUUGUUCUAAUCUUCAGAUCAGAGCCAUCUCCACUAUGAUAGUUUAUCAAAGGGGCAAUGAGAGGCGUGCCCCUCUGCUGGUUUCUCUGGCAACUGAUGAGCCAAUCUGAUAUUAAUUAACCCUAUAACUGGUUACCUCCUUUUCCCUCUGGUAGCAAAGACUACUGCCACGUUCUGCCGGCUGUCUGCUGCACACAUUGGGGCGUUGCUCCAGGACCUUGCUUCAGUCACGUAAGAUCCUCCCUCCAUUAAACUAUCAAUGUCUCUGUUACUGACUCCAGGCUUUAGUCUUGAGGCUGGGCAAGCACAGGGCUUGCAGGCACAGUGUCUUCGGAGAUAUUCUUUCAGAGUCAGGGGAGGGAGGCUCAGAAGAGUAUUCUAGAGAAGGCAGCACUUUACAUCGUGCUUUCAAGAAUGGCGAGGACAUGGAAAGACAGGGGACCCUCCCAGGUAGCAAUUCCAGGUCGUGAGACUAAACGCAAGCCGGGCAAGCUGGCAGCCUCUGCUCACAGGCCUUCUUCCACUCCCAUCUUCCCUACCAACAUCCAUCCAGGUUUCUCCUGGCCCAGGUUAAAUGCCUGACACCUUCAGGCUGAAAGAGGUGUCCAUUUCCUAUUCACUCAUGACACCCUGUGAUUAUUUCUAUCACUGCUACUUCCUUAUUAAAUGAUUCUGCAUUCAACUAUAUAUAAAAUAAGUAACGAAUAAAGACCUACUGUGUAGCACAGGGAACUCUACCCCAUACUCUGUAAUGGUGCAUAUGGGAAAAGAAUCUAAAAAAGAGUGAGUAUAUUUAUAUAUAUAGCUGAUUCACUUUCUGUACACCUGAAAUUAACACAAAUUAUAAAAUCAGCUAUACUCCAAUAAAAUUUUUUAAAAAAUUAAAAAUGAUUGUGUUUUGUGUUCCCUUCUUGAGGUCAAGGAUUUCAUAUAUUUUUGAAGCCCCAGAGACAAAACAAUGCCUAGUACAUAAUAAGCUCUUGAUAAGAAAAAAGUUUUUUGGAAGAAUUGAAUGUUUUUUCAUGAUGAUUUUCCUUCCCUCUGCACUGUUUUGUUAGUUGGUUUGUUCCACUCCACGUUGGUUGGGAUACAUCAGUGAUUUAAACAAGAAAAUGUACUGCUUCCAUGUAAGAGUCAGAGUAGCAGCAGGCCAUACUGAUAAGGUCCCUUUGUGGCGGGGGGGGGGUGGGGGGGGUGGGGGUGGGAUGGGGUGGUGGUACCCAGGAUCCUGCUGGCCAGUAGCUCUGUCAUCCCUCAGAUGUCGCCUUCAUUUAUUUGCACGAUUGGAGGUGGCUCACCACCCCAUCUGGAGAAGGCAAUGGCAACCCACUCCAGUACUCUUGCCUGGAAAAUCCCAUGCACGGAGGAGCCCGGUAGGCUGCAGUCCAUGGGGAUGCGAAGAGUCAGACACGACUGAGCGACUUCACUUUUCACUUUCAUGCACUGGAGAAGGAAAUGGCAACCCACUCCAGUGUUCUUGCCUGGAGAAUCCCAGGGAUGGAGAAGCCUGGUGAGCUGCCUUCUAUGGGGUUGCACAGAGUCAGACACGACUGACGUGACUUAGCAGCAGCAGCAGCAGCAGGACUUAGUUGUGGCACUAGAGAUUUUUAGUUGCGGCAUUCGGGAUCUGGGCUUCCCUGGUGGUUCAGUGGUAAAGAAUCUGCCUGCCAAUGCAGGAGACUCAGGUUUGAUCCCUGGGUCGGGAAGAUCCCCUGGAGAAGGAAAUGGCAACCCACUCCAGUAUUCUUCCCUGGGAAAUCCCGUGGACAGAAGAGCCUGGCAGGCUACUCUACAGCAAGAAUCAGACACAACUUAGUGACUAAACCACCACCACCACCACGUGGGAUAUAGUUCCCUGACCAGGCAUGGAACUCAGACCCUCUGCAUUGGGAGUGUGGAGUCUUAGCCACUGAACCACCGGGAAGUCCUGCUGCUUCCUUUUUAAAGGUGCACCUCUCCCAUCUCUUCACAUCCCAUUUUCAGGACCUGGUGAUGGCUACAAAGGAGACUGGGAAAGUAGUUUUCAUCUGGGCAACCAUCUAAGGCUAAAAUUUCCAUUACCAGAGAAGGAAAGAAUAGAUAUGGGAGUGUGGGGAGGGCAGGAAGAAGUAGCAGUGUCUGUCUGCCACACUUUCUUUUCUUUUAAUAAAAAUUUUAUUUUAUUGAAGUAUUAUUGAUUUACAAUGUUGUGUUAGUUUCUGGUGUACACCCAAGUGAUUCUGUUAUACAUAUAUACAGAUUCUUUUUCAUUAUGGUUUAUUACAGGAUACGGAAUAUAGGUCCUUGUGCUAUAGAAUACGACCUUGUUGUUUAUACUCCAUUCUUAUACUGCUGCUAAGUCGCUUCAGUCGUGUCCGACUCUGUGCGACCCCAUAGACGGCAGGCCAUCAGGCUCCCCCAUCCCUGGGAUACUCCAGGCAAGAAUACUGGAGUGGGUUGCCAUUUCCUUCUCCAAUGCAUGAAAGUGAAAAGUGAAAGUGAAGUCGCUCAGUCGAGUCCAACUCUUAGAGACCCCAUGGACCACAGCCCACCAGGCUCCUCUGUCCAUGGGAUUCUCCGGGCAAGAGUACUGGAGUGGGGUGCCAUUGCCUUCUCCAUUCUUAUACUGGUGUAUUGUAAAUAUUCAGACAGUUCCAUAUGAUAUGCUUGACCUAUUUUUUUCUUUCCAAGGUGCAUUUUCGAUUGAAUUACUCACCAAUCAUGCAUAGUCAUCUUACGUGUCCUCUGAGAGCAUGAAAUCUUUCAUCUGUAUCUUGCACAACCUUGAUCUUAUAGCAUGCCUGGUACCUAGUUACUUAAUCAGUAGUUGCUAAAUGAAUACAUGGGUGAAGAAGAGAAGAGCUUUGUCAUUCCUCCAUAACCUGUUUCUAUGGAGCUGGAUUUAUCAAUCACAUUAGGUAAACAGUACAAAUAAAUCAGUAUUAUCUGUGUUGAGUUAUUACAAAAUGUGGAAGCAUUGAGGGACGUCAACAUCGUCUUCCCUGCCCUGUGGUGGUGCUGCUCUUGAGCCACAAGAGUCAGACUGGGGACCAGUGACUUUACUCCCAGGACACAUGUCAUGAGGUCAGCUGUACCACCACCAUCUUCUCCCCCUUUCCUCUCGUUCUCCUUCAGAAGAAGGACCCGUCUCCACUCUGCAGUUCUAGAAACACUUCUUUUAAGUUAGAACGCAAAUACCAAGGAGUUGUGUGUGCGUGCUUAGUUGCUCAGUUCAGGGUAAAUAAAUAAUCCUGAGGAUUUCCAUUUUCUAAAGAGUCCUGAUACUGCCCUCUCUGCACAUUUUGACCAGUGGCUUUGGCUUUUUGCCAGGCUUCUCUGUCCAUGGACUUCUCCAGGCAAGGAUACUGGAGUGGGUAGCCAUUCCCUUCUCUAGGCAGUCUUCCCAACCCAGGGAUGGAACCUGGGUCUCCUGCAUUGCAGGCAGAUUCUUUACCAUCUGAGCCAUGAGGGAAACCCCAGCUUUACGAAACCAGAUAACAUUUUGGCAAUGUCAGAGCCAGCUGGCCCCCAAGAGUCUGUUACCAUGGCAAACAGUGAGGUCACAUAAGGAUUACCCACUUGACCCGAGCUUGUUAUGUCUAGACACUCAUGCUGAGGGCGACAUCACCCAGGAAUUCAGGGACUCUGUAGGCCUGCCCUCGUUUCUGGUUUGUCACAUUUUCCUCCAGCCUCCUGGAAACCCCAAACAGGAUUUCCAGCUCCUUUCAGAUUCCUGUCUGGCAUUUCCUCGCUCUCUGCUCUCCUGGGGACAGGACUGCUUUUGGCAGACAGACGCUACCCCUCCCUCCCCCAAUCCAGGAAGGGCCCUGGCCUCUAUGACAGCAAAUCCAUUGCACCACUUAGGUUUAAUUAGAGCACAAUGACGGAUGAUUAGUUUACACAUCAAAGCACUGAAACAACUUGACAAAUUGGCCCCAUCCCAAAGCCCAGCGCGGGAGCUGGCCUUGAACUCAGAGGCUCUGCCCUUGGGGGCCGCGGAGGUGGUGAUGAAAGCUCGGGAGCCCCAGGCAGGGGCGCACAGAAGGAGUUCUGUUUCUCAAGAGAAGAAAUGCAUCCCAGCUGUUGCCAGCCCUGAUUGUGCCUCUGCAUCUCCCUCACCUUGACUUUCCUCCUCCUGGCUCUCCCCCGGCUGCUGCUCAAAGUUCAUGUGUGGUAGGCUCGAAGUUCAUGUGUGGUAGGCUCUCAGUACUUUGGAGACAGAUAAUCAUGAGUUACCCAAGCCCUUUGCUAGUUCUCUUUUUUCACCCUGUUUACCCUCCAAGUGGGAUUUGGAGUGUUCAAUUAGGAAACCUACCAAGGAAGGAGAGAGAGACAAAAUUCAUCUUCAAACCAGCCACUUGGUUACCAACUGAUGAUUUUUUUGUUGGCAAACUAAUGGAGGAAAGAGAAACUAUAGACUGCAAUGAAGUAAAGGAAUUAUUUCUAGGUCUCCUUUCUGUACGCUCUCUGUGUAUGACCUGAAGUCAGGUGAACCCAGGAGAGCACGUGGCAUUAGACUGUUUCCGAGGUUUAUCACAUAUUUCAGAUCUCUGAUUGUCAUGCUGGGUCCCAGAGAGGUUGAUGGUGUGUUGGAAGCCGUUCGGGUUCUUCUGGCUCAAAAGACCAGUCUGUUCAUACUAACAAUCACUUAAUUCAGCGAUUAAACCAACAAAAAAACCCUAAACGUCCACCCAGUAGUUGAACUGAAUUCACCCUCUCACUUGGUCUACACUCAUAGCCUCAUGGAAGAACAAUUGGUGUGUCCUGCUUCAGAGUCAUCUCAUCAAAGUCAAUGGCAGAGCAGAGACUUGAAUCAAGGUCUUCCUCCGUAGCCCUUAUCCCCUCAGGACUACGUGAUCUUUCCAGUGGUCGGAAGGAUACAGGGCGGAGGUCACAUAAACAUCGCACGGAGCGCGAAGGCUCAGGCCUCUCUCCUGAACAAUUGAUGGAGACGCAGUGCAUGGUGGGAUUCUUGUUUCCUCGCUGUGGGCCUCGGGUGUGAGCGGACAUCAGCCUCAGCCCCGUGAUGUGGGCAGACAGAUGAAUGCUGACUGCCGGUAGCACUGGACAGUCAGUGGGCGGGAGCUGGGUUCAGACUGCUGUAAGCGGAGCACUUCAGAAGGAGGAUGACACGGCAUUAUUACCAUAAACCAGGAGCCUAUUGAUCGGGCUGAUUAGAAAACCUUCCAAGGCACGGGGGUAAUUAGCACAAUUUACAGCGUAGCAGUUAUCAGCUUCAUUGCUUAAUUAACAAUGUAAAUAUCUUCCUAAAUGACAUUUUAUAAUCAUGAUCAGACCCUCUAGCGUUUGCCCUGUUCACUGCUUAAUUCCUUCCCAGAUGUACAGAUAGCCAGCCGCCUAACAUACCGUUGCUGCAUCUUAUAAGAUAAAACAAUUGUUCUCGCCCCGCGUCUCCUCUUUUGGAUUUUACUGGGGGUCUGUUCUGCCUUCCUCUCUCCAGCCUGAAAUCUACAGUCUGCCAAUUGAAUUGCCAAUUAAAAGUACUUAAUUAGACGUGAAAGGGGAGUUCUGUCAUGUUCUGGAUUCUGAACUAUUUUUUAUUUAUGUGCUUAGCAGGAUAAGUCAUCUUAAAUUAGCAUCACAUUUUUCCCUCUGAAGAGCAUGUGAGAAAUGAGGCUAUUAGGAGGAGAGGUUUAACACAAUAUUUGUGUACACUAGUCAUGGGUGCAGGGAAUCAUCCCAAGCGCAUAUGGUGUUUUGGCAAGCAGGGUUACUCUUCAUCUUUAUUUUAUUUCCUUAUCAUGUCUUGUUGAAUUAAUGUUUGCAAUAGAAAUUUUGGCCUUCCUUAUCAAACAUAUGUGCAGACAACUUAUUGUUUGAUUUUUUUUAAACUUUCAAUUCACCUCUUCUUUUGAGUAUCAGGGCCAUACCGAAAGAUUACUGUUCCACGUUUAAGUUCCCAAUGCAUACAAACAAAUUCAAAUCUUAAUGCAGCCCUGGGGGUGGAAAGUUCAGAUGCUCAUAAUCCUCCCUGGAAAGAAUGCCCCCUAAGCUUUCCAUUCCUGGAGGCUUGAUGAUUUCACCUGGUGAAUGAUCCACUUCUGAUCUAUCUGCACAAUGUGCAGAAAGGGGGUUUAAUACAAACCAGUGCGUAGUAUAUUGGAAAAAUGGUAGGGAAGGCAAAAUGUGAAUUUUGGAGGAAUUUGCUGUGGGUUUUAAUUAACCAUCUUGCCCUUGUUCCCCAUUAUCAUUGAUUUGUGUGAUAAGUGCCAAUUAUACGUGUCAUAAGUAUACUGCUUUUCGAUGAAGACAAGAGAUCUCAUGUGUGAUGCAAAUCAGGACUCUCAGAAUGCUAAUUUUGUAAUGAGCCAAUGCAUUCUUCAAGGAGUUUAUAGUCUAGAGGGGGAAUAAAACAUGUGCAUAAAUAAUUAUAAUGCAAAGUAGAGAACUGGUGGGUCAUGAGACAGCGAAGAAAGAAUUAUGGCCAAAAAAGAGGGUGGAGGAAUAAAUUAUAGUUGAGGGAUUUAGGAAGGCCUGCUUGAAGGUCGGGGCAAACUGGCUUAAAAGCAGACUGAGAGUAUAGGGUGUGGUUUCCAGAUGAGGGGGACAGCAGGAAGAAAAUACAGAGGUGGGACAGCAUGAAAUUUAAAUGAGGAACAAGAUGUUUACCAUGGCCUUUACAGGAGGCAUGCGAAGGGAAGCAGUGGCGGGAACACUGCAAAGGUAGGUCGGGGCUCCCUGGUGCAGAAUCUAGCAUCCAAAGCCAAAACAUCUGCAUUGAUUUUUUAAAAUAUAUCUUUAUUCAUUUGGCUGCGUCGGGUCUUAGGCACCGCACACGGGAUUUUCCUUGCGUCGUGGCUCCGUAGGUGCAGUGCCCUGGCUUACUUGCCCAGAGGCAUGUGGGAUCUUAGUUCCCUAACCUGGGAUGGAACCUGUGUCCGUUGCAUUGCAAGGUGGAUUCUUAGCCCCUGGACAACCAGGGAGGGCCUUGCACUGAUUUUUGCAUAUCACAGGUUGGCUAUUUUUUUUUUUUUUUGGUAAAGGGCCAGAGAGUACAUUUUAGGCUUUGCAGGAUAUGUGAUCUCUGUCACAACUGGUCAGCUCUGCCAUUGGAACACGAAAUCAGUCAGAGGCAACAUGUACAUGAAUGGGCAUCAUGAUGUUUCAAUAAAACUUUACUUAUGGACACUGAAGUGUGAAUUUUGAUGUGUUACAAUACAUUCCUCUUAUGAUUUUAUCAAUACUACUCUCCUCUGCUAUCGGGGUAGGCAGAGGCAUGAAGUUGUGCGUGCAUGCUAAGUCACUGCAGUCGCGUCUGACUCUUUGAGACCCUAUGGACUGUAGCCUGCCAGGCUCCUCUGUCCAUGGGCUUCUCCAGGCAAGAAUACUGAAGUGGGUUGCCAUUUUCUUCUCCAGGGGAUCGUCCCAACCCAGGCAUCGAACCUACAUUGUUUAUGUCUCCUGCACUGGCAGGUGGUUGUUUUUUUUUUUUUUUUUUUUUUACCACUAGCAACACCUGCAGAGUCCACUGGGGUAAGGGGUAUGAAGCCGUAACCAUCUCCUAAGCUCUGAGUUUUUCUUUACUUUUGAAUAUAUUCCCAUAAUCACAGAGAACCAAGUGCUGAUGAGUUUGGAUCCAGGGCGGCAGAGAACCACAGAGUCAGGGCCUUAUGUGAUGGUGAUGGCACACGCGUGCACCGGGGGCUGUGGUUCUAUCAUCCUGUUGGCCUGGAACAAGCUUCAGCAUGUAGCACUAGGGCAGCACUCCCAGUGGGCUUAAUGGUAUUUGGUAGUUAAAAAAGAAAUACCU
ensembl:lncRNA